AAUUAUGGUGGAUGUUAUGACCAGCUAAGCACUUUGACUGGAGUAACGAUGUGCGGAGAAGCCUGUGUACCCCUGGAUGGGCUCAAAUUUCUAAGUCCUUCUUAUGGUCCUAUCAAAGCUUCCCUCCGCUUUGAGAAGGAGGAUGAGUCAUUGAGUGCUUACCAAUUUCAAGGCCUUUUACGACAAUAAACAACCAGAUAAAGUGUCUCUGGAGGUGCUUUUGGAUACUCCUAAUUCGAAUACAGAUAGAAAAUUUCUUCUGAGUGUCAAAGGCAGCACAAAGCCACAGAAACAACUUCUCAUUGUUAUAGAAUCUCCUUUAACUGCACCCACCACUUUUGAAGGCAAAAGCUCUAGAAAACAGUGUAGAACUUAUCCUCAAUCACAAGUGUGAGUCAGCAACUAAGUCCAAGUUUACCAACUCUCUAGAGAUUAAACCUGGUGGCAAGUACCAACUGAACGCUCUGGUGCAGUUAAAAGUAAAAUCUGAUGACAUCUAUCAAUCCUUGAAUGCAGAGAUUAAAAUGCCACAGAAUCCUAAUAC